rnacentral:rRNA from 1 species
UAACAAGGAUUCCCCUAGUAGCGGCGAGCGAAGCGGGAAGAGCUCAUAUUUGUAAUCUGGCGCUUUCAGCGUCCGAGUUGUAAUCUCUAGAAAUGUUUUCCGCGUUGCACCGCACACAAGUCUGUUGGAAUACAGCGGCACAGUGGUGAGACCCCCGUUCAUGGUGCGGAUGCGCAAUGCUUUGUGAUACAUUUUCGAAGAGUCGAGUUGUUUGGGAAUGCAGCUCAAAUUGGGUGGUAAAUUCCAUCUAAAGCUAAAUAUUGGCGAGAGACCGAUAGCGAACAAGUACCGUGAGGGAAAGAUGAAAAGCACUUUGGAAAGAGAGUUAACAGUACGUGAAAUUGUUGGAAGGGAAACGCUUGAAGUCAGACUUGCUGUUCGGAGUUCAGCCGCAAGGUGUACUCUCCGAGUUGCAGGCCAGCAUCAGUUUUUCGGGGUGGAAAAUCACGGUUUGAAGGUAGCAGUUUCGGCUGUGUUAUAGCUUUCCGUUGGAUACAUCCUGGGGGACUGAGGAACGCAGUGUGCUUUUAGCAGGGGUUUCGACUCUUCACACUUAGGAUGCGGGAAGG